rnacentral:rRNA from 1 species
UAAUCUGCGAUAAGCGCCGGUAAGGUGAUAUGAACCGUUAUAACCGGCGAUUUCCGAAUGGGGAAACCCAGUGUGACUCGUCACACUAUCAUUAACUGAAUCCAUAGGUUAAUGAGGCGAACCGGGGGAACUGAAACAUCUAAGUACCCCGAGGAAAAGAAAUCAACCGAGAUUCCCCCAGUAGCGGCGAGCGAACGGGGAGGAGCCCAGAGCCUGAAUCAGCAUGUGUGUUAGUGGAAGCGUCUGGAAAGGCGCGCGAUACAGGGUGACAGCCCCGUACACAAAAGCGCAUGUGCUGUGAGCUCGAUGAGUAGGGCGGGACACGUGGUAUCCUGUCUGAAUAUGGGGGGACCAUCCUCCAAGGCUAAAUACUCCUGACUGACCGAUAGUGAACCAGUACCGUGAGGGAAAGGCGAAAAGAACCCCGGCGAGGGGAGUGAAAAAGAACCUGAAACCGU